CGGGGCGCGGGGACCGGCCAGGCCGCGGCGGGCGCUGUUUCUCUUUCACUUUCCUUCCCUCCGAGGCCGGCGCGCUGGCGGGCGAGGAGCGGCGGCGGCGGCGGCCGCGGGGGGACUUUCUCUGAACUCUGGAGCUUCGUGGCAAACCUGUGGAGAAGGCAGGGCCGCUAGUCCCGAGGUGGAGGAGAAGCCUAGACCCAGGCACCGCCGCCUGCGGAAGGUCGUCCAGGCCGAGGACCCGAAGCCCAGACCCUCGGCUCUCCAAGCUCCCUUUGUGUUGCCCCCUCGUGCCACGCAAAGCCCGUUCCGUGCGCGUCCUUCAGGGCGAGUGUCCAUGGGAUGAUGGCUCCGCCUCUCCGGCUGCUUUAUACCUAUAUGGGAAAGCAGAACCACCAAAAGUAGUGAUGACCAGCGAUCUCAUGAUAAAUCUGGAUGUUAGUUCUCAUGCCUCAAGACAUCCAGUUGGGAACUCCACACCGGCUCCUGGGCUCAGACUUCAUCCACUUACUACCCCUCUUUGCCUGAACUACUAAAGCCAGUCCUAGCUAACCACGAAUGGCUACCCAAAGGAAACACUUGGUGAAAGAUUUCAAUCCUCACAUCACCUGCUACAUCUGUAAAGGGUACCUGAUCAAGCCAACCACAGUGACGGAAUGCCUCCAUACCUUCUGUAAGACUUGUAUUGUACAGCACUUUGAAGAUAGCAAUGACUGUCCAAGGUGUGGCAUCCAAGUCCAUGAGACAAAUCCAUUAGAAAUGUUGAGGUUGGAUAAUACAUUAGAGGAAAUUAUAUUUAAGCUGGUCCCUGGACUACGAGAACAGGAACUUGAGCGUGAAUCUGAAUUUUGGAAGAAAAAUAAGCCUCAAGAAAAUGGACAAGAUGAUACUUCAAAAGUUGACAAACCUAAAGUAGAUGAAGAAGGUGAUGAAAAUCAAGAUGAUAAGGACUAUCACAGAAGUGACCCACAAAUUGCUAUAUGUCUAGAUUGUUUACGAAAUAAUGGACAAUCAGGGGACAAUGUAGUAAAGGGUUUAAUGAAGAAAUUCAUUCGAUGUUCUACACGUGUAACUGUGGGAACUAUUAAAAAAUUUUUAAGUUUAAAACUAAAACUUCCAAGUUCUUAUGAGUUGGAUGUGCUGUGCAAUGGUGAAAUUAUGGGGAAGGAUCACACUAUGGAAUUCAUCUACAUGACAAGAUGGCGACUAAGAGGCGAAAACCUGUUCCAUGAUAAUUGGUCCCAAGUACAAGACCAAGAUCUGUGUUAAAUGUGGUUUUGUUAUAUUUAAGUUUCGGUGUCUGAACUGCUCAGCUUCGCAAGUCUGCUCUCAGGAUGGCCCUUUGUAUCAGUCCUACCCCAUGGUAUUGCAGUAUCGACCAAGAAUUGAUUUCGGUUAGACCAAGGGGCCUUGAUCCCACUGAGAUGAAUCCUGCACUUUGUUUACUCAUCAACAGAUCGCACAGUGAACGGUGUGUGGACGAGAGGGACACAACCAGAUUUUCAGCAUGCAAAUAAGGCCAUUGUCUGUCUCUAAGUUGUCAGUUGCAUUUAUGUUGUUUCUAUUAAGAGUGAACCAAGUGCCAUUCUGCUACUGAACCACCCGCAUAAGGUAUCUGUGCUGUCUCACCAUGUACCAUACAAGCCAGGGUUGAAAUCAGCUAGGUGUGCAGCCAUGAUUCAGCCUCUCGCAUAUCUUGCUUGCUUGUCCUGAGACUGUUCUGAUGUUUGAUUACACUAGUACUAUGACUCAAUCUGUGUGGUGUUGCAGUUUUCACAUACUUAAUAUUUUAUUAAUUUUUGUUUAAAAUAGAGUACUGUACAAGAAAUAAUUAUUGUAUCUUGAAGUUAUUUUGUAUGGGAAAGUAUUUAGAAGAGUGGUUUGUGAGCCACUGUCCUGUUCUCAGUAAGCUUUUUGUGUGCAAAAUAGUUCACUCUUGAGUGUUCAAGUCUUUGGGGAAGAAUUCCAAUUAUUCUUAUCAUUAGAGCACAUUAUAGCUGUAGACAUUUUAAGUCCUCCAGCGGUGUAGUCUACCAGUUGCACAGGAGGGCACAUUAGCCCUCCAGGUUGAACAUGUGUGUGACUCCGUGGAGACCUGAAGUUCGAUUCAUACCCAUUCGAGACAUUAACAGCUGGUCACAUUUACUCUAACAAAAUGGAUGCAUCAGUAAGGUCGACCUUUCAUAAUGCCUUAUGAAAGCAGGUGCUGCUUCAUGAAACGUCACUGUGUAGCCCUUUUUGUAUAUGCAUCCUUAUAUUGUGGCUCCCAUUUAACAAGUAGCGUCUCUCUUUUUAAGUUGGCCUUAGGUGAGUGUCAUUGUGGCAUGCAGAGGGUUAUGAUGAUUUUAAAUAUUAGGAUUUUUAGAGAAGAUAACAUUAGCCAUUUUAUGGAUUUCAGAAGUCUCAAGGCAAUUAUUAAUUAAAACUGUUAGUUACCUGUCACAUUUCCAAACCAUAUGCAUAAAAUAGAAUAAAUGCAGUGUAGUAGGUAAUAUGCUAACCAAAAUUAAUGGUUUGAGGAUAUUUCAUUUUAGAUCCUGUAGUAAUCAGGGGGAAACGGGAUUGUUUUAUACAUAAAUUCAUUAAGGUCAGAGCUGUGAUAAUGUCCUUGAUUUUGCAGUUUUGUUAAGUCUUCCAUUCAUUUUGAGGUUAGUCUGCAAGUCAAAGAAAGUCUUGUUACCUUAAAUUACAUGAAGAAUUUUAUUUUAAACCUUUUAAAAUUUACAGUUUUCUUCAGAAAACUUCUUUGGAAAUUAAGUUUUAUUACUUGCUUCAAAAUAAACAAGUUAACCUCUGAAACUUAGGAAAAAUCUUGAAAGUUAGGAAAACUCUGUUUUAGAAAUCUGACACGAGCACAAUCUGUGUGGUACACACAUAGUUUUUAUAACUGUAUACAUUGUAGAUGUGCUACAUUUUCCAGUAAAAUGUAUCACAGAUAAUGCCUUCUGAAUAUCAAAAUGCUUCUUAGAAAUAACAUUGUUUAACUCUAAAAAACAUAAAAUACAGCUAAAUCUUGAUGCAUUUCACAACCUCUAAAAGUCUGAAACUUCCUAAUUACCUUUUCCAUGUGUCUUUGUUUCAAGUUAGAAAGUCAGUAUUAAAGUCUUCUACUGUUUUUGUUUUGACGUCUGUGAAAAAGGUUAUGGCAAUGCUUUCUGAAUUUCAUUUUGUUAGAUUGUGUUUGUGCCUGGAAGGACUCAAAAGUAGAAUUUAAAAGGCAGAUUUUUGUUGACACUUUAAAAACGGUUAGAAUAGAUCAUUAUAUUCAACCAAAAACAAUUUACUCUCCAGAUGCAGAAAUUAUUUUGCUGUUAUGAAACCCAAUUCCCUGACAUCCCUAAGAAAUUUUAAAAUUAUGAAUCUGUCACAUCUAGGUCAGUGAUUAAAAUAGUGCUUUACAUGUGGAAGUUAAUUAACUCAAAAUUAAUUGAGUGUGCAUUUUUAAAAACCACAAAUGAGACCUGCGUGUUUUUGGGUCCCCAGCCAAAACUUACAGCCUUAAAUGAGUUUUGUAUACCUGAUCUCUUUAAAUUUGGCCUGUUGCUGCCUCCACUCCUUUAAUUUCACUAUUUUCCAAGGAAAUAUAUAGGAAGCAAUUAUGGGAUUGAGAAUAGUUUUAUAUAAAAUUCCUUUAUUCAAUGUUAACACGCUAACAUUUUUAUUGAAAUGCAAUGGAAUAUGUGCCAAAACAUGUGAAAGAUAACUUUAUAUAAAGAAGGGCAUCAGUUACCAGUUAAGUUAGGGAAAGGUGCACAUUUUAUGAUGGUCCCAAGUAAUACAGUGUUACUAUUAAGAACCAUAGACUUCUUCAACAAACCUCUUUUGGUAUAUUCAACUAUAAUUUUCUAAGUAUGGGACUACUUUCAUGUCAAGCAAUACACUAAUUAUCCCCUAAGCCAGAUUAUGGAAUUUGCAAGAAACCAGAUGCAGAAAAAAUAUACAGGCAACUUUUGUGGUCCAUUUUAUAAACUUAGGGUGCUAAUAAAUCUCUUUAUAUAAACAACCUAUAGAAAUAAUCAUCUGAAUCGGCAAAAUUGGAGAAUCAAACUAAAAUUUUUUUAAUCUGUUGUUCAAAAGAACUUUAACUUCCAUAAAAGAUUUUAUAAUCUGCUUUCUCUGCCUUAGAUAUCAGAGACAUCAGAGGGUCAAGGAACCUCAGAUAUAAAGGACUAUGGUCCAUAGAUACCACUUUAGCUGGAGUGAACAGACCCAUUAAUAGAAAAAUCAGAAUACGGCCCUUUCUCUAGAUUAACCAAAACACUGUUAAGUAUAAGAAAAUAAACUAAAAGGCUCAUUGAUGAGGUAAUAUAAGGUCAUUCAGUCUGGGGUACAGGUACCUUGGGUAAUGUCUUUUAAUUACUUUCCUAAAAGUGUAUUUCUUUAGUCUCUUUAUUCAUUGGAAAUAUGUCCCAUACAAAUAUGCCACAUUUUAUAAAUGUAAUUAGUUUGCUCUACUACAUUAUAUACUCUAAUCUAAAUUUAAGCAACUCUAUAAGGGGGAAAAGUGUGUUAUAUAAUAUUGUGAACUGUUUAGCUUUAUUGAAAUAUUUAAGAGAAAGUGCCUCAUUGCUAAAGUGCAUUUCUGUUUAGAUUUACUGCAUAAAUUUUGAGUUAUCUGUUCCUGUCUCUUAUGAAUGGUUUUGUAUCUAGGCACUCAUAAGUUUGAGUAAUCUCUUUUUGAAAGAUUUUCAUAAGAAAUAGAGAUCACCAAAGACCUUCUGCUGUUCAUUAAUAACCAUGGUAAGACAGAGAAUUUUAACAGUUUGGAGGUUGGAAUCUUUUAGGUUGCAAUUUAAUUUUAUAUAGUUAGGCAAUAACCUUGAGUAACUGCUAAAAUAUCACCAAAGAAAGAUUUGAAGCUGAUUUUUGUGAUGAGAUCAAUCAAAUGGAGGUUUUUCUUGCAAUAAUCAGAACACACUUCCUUUCAAAUAUGUCCCUUGUUUUCCCAGCACCACUUGAUAGGUCUUAGGAAAUCCUCAAAGAUGAGAAAGAGAUAAACACCACAAUUGGCUUUCCCUUGGAUGCAAGUGGAAGAAAUGGAUCCUCUGAAAAGAAAACUGAAAUGGAGAUUUUAAUUCGAAUUUGAGAAGCUCUUUAAUUCAUUUCAUGCAGCCCAUAUAAACUAAAAUUAUGCUUAUUUAGUUCCUGGAUUCUUAAUAACAUGAGAAAUUUUAUUAAAGGCAGACUUUGGUAGAAAUGCUGACCAUGCUUACAUGUAUAGAAAAUAGUACAUUCUAUUGGAUUUACAUAAGUAAAUGCUUUUUUUUUCUUUUUCUGGUAUUCAAAAGCAAAUUUUUCAUAAAGGCUUUUUUUUUCCCCCUAAAAAGUAACUCUUUGGCCUAUUUCUCAGUGAUUACUUUGUAAUUAGAAUUUAGCCAUAUAGCCAAACUUUGACAAAAUGGGUCCCAGAUCAAGAGUGUAUACAUCAAGUUAAGCAUUGCCCUCCCACCCUUCUCCUUGGGAGCUUACCCUGUCACCAUCUUGAAGGUAAGGCUUACAUGAUGCAGUCCUUCUGGUAGCUGGGUAAGCUUCUCGGAUGCUCUCUGCUACAUACUCUGGUUUAUCAUAAGGAAUCGUCCAGCAGGCUAAGCUUUAUACCAAGAUGUUAGUUAUAGGAAUUACAAAAAUGAAUGAGUUUGCCAUAACUUUAAUGUUUGGGACUAGAAACAAAAACAUGAAAAUGUUAGUAAUACUUUUAAGAUAUAGAUAUAUAUCCCUGCAAUAAGGAACAUAACAUGUAUGCCACAUCUGGUCUAUGAAAAACUGAAAAAUAUUAAAGAAGAGCUCAGAAACCCCUUUGAAAGCACAAAAUAACCAACCAGUUUUGGAUUUACUUGAUAUACCUAGUUCUACAUGUAGUAUUUCAGUGGAAAAAACAUCAGGUUGAAAGUUCAUUAAAAUGUAUGUACUUAAAUAUACAUUAUAAGAUUUUCAUGGUUUUCUUUUUCUCAAAGCAAAGGCAUUUUCCCAAUAAUUUAAAAUGAUUCUCUUCCUUGUGUAGUCUUCACAAGUAGUGUGUUUACUAUCCUCACUGUAUUUGCAAAUAGAAUUAAAAUGCUUGAGUACUUCCUUUUCAGAAAGUUAUGAAAUUAAACAAAUAUAAUUUAUUUUAAAUGCUCAUUCAUAUAUGUAUACCCAUUAUGCCCCUUUUUCUAGGAUUCAAUACUAAGACAUUGAUCUGAAAUGCCUUUAUCUUUAAAUAUAGAAUCAAGUGAAACAGAGAUGUUAAAAUACUGGGUCUAGUUUGCUUCCAUCUUUUAGAGCUUCGUGGCGUAAGAAACUAACCUAGAACAAAUGAAGAUUAAAUAUUCCUGGGCAAUGUAGAGCUAGUAAACAGAUUAUCCCUAGACUUCACCUCAGGCCACUGGAGCAGAAGUUCUACACACUAGAAAUGUAAUGGGAUCAGCCUAACAUUUUGGGGGUUCGGUUUUCUUUUGCUGUAUUUUUUAGAAUGGGGAUGGGGGCCUAAGUGUCCUUACGAAGCUGCGGCCCAUGACAAGAGCUUGUGGGAGGGCGCCAGCCUUCCGCUGCGCUCCUGCACCUGGCAGCGCAACAGCAAAGCACCAGUUUUUAAUCAAGCAGCCCUCACAUUAAAUAAAACCAUCAUAGAAUCUAUUGUACAGUUAUGUUGCUAAUUUUCCUUUGAAAUAUAAAAUAUUUUAAGCUUUUUUUGUCAAAAGUGGUAACAUCUUAAUACAAAUAAAAACCUUUUUGUGGUUGUAAGAUUUAGCUUAUAAAUCAUUCAAAUUGAAGUGAAAGAUUACCAGGUCAUUGUUAAUGACUUAGUCUAUUAAGAAUAUAUGUAUUUUUGUAAAGGAAAAGCACUUGUAGAUAUUUAAUCAGUACAAGAUAUAUGUCUGUUUUGCAGAAAAUAAAAUGCUGCUUAGAGAUUCUCUUUAAAUAUUUUUUAUUUUUGUGCUCAAAUGUAUUUUCUGUUGAUCAAUGGAAUGUUCUGUAUAAAAGCUGUAUGGUUGUACCGUUGGGCUAGAUUCUUUUGUUUUUUAAAAUCUGGACUUAGCCAAGUAUAUUUGACCAUGUUAAAAAUAGUAUCUUUGUUAUUAAAAUUUUGAUUGCAUAAUU